GAGAGAGGGGUAACCGUGGAGUCCAUCUUGCGGCGGGGACUCCUCCGGGGCUUGUGCGUCUUGCCGACCACCGGCGGCCUGUUCGCCGGUGAGUUCCUGCAGCGGCCCGAAGAGGCACGUGCUCGCAGGGUGAGGGGGGAGGCGCCGGAUCUAGCGGGACAACGUGUGGUACCUUGUAUGGGAUGAAGUGAAGGCUAUUUUAUUAAUCAAUCAUCGUAUUAUGUGCACAAUAAGCUUUUGCUAUGCUUUCACCGUCGAUGCCCACUGGUUGGAUCAUGCUUCUGUUUAUGAGCUCAUUGAAGUAACUCUCUCCUAGCUCAAAUUGGGCCAAUUUCUCGUUUGCAUUACAUAUAAAACCUUCAGCUAUCCAUCUCCAUAUCAGCCUGUCUCUCUUAAUUUUGAAACAUUUUGG
rnacentral:rRNA from 1 species